rnacentral:tRNA from 1 species
GGGGAUGUAGCUCAGUGGUAGAGCAUGUGCUUAGCGAGUAUGAGGCCCUGGAUUCUAUCCCUA